GACGAACGCUGGCGGCGUGCUUAACACAUGCAAGUCGAACGGAAAGGCCCUGCUUUUGUGGGGUGCUCGAGUGGCGAACGGGUGAGUAACACGUGAGUAACCUGCCCUUGACUUUGGGAUAACUUCAGGAAACUGGGGCUAAUACCGGAUAGGAGCUCCUGCUGCAUGGUGGUGGUUGGAAAGUUUCGGCGGUUGGGGAUGGACUCGCGGCUUAUCAGCUUGUUGGUGGGGUAGUGGCUUACCAAGGCUUUGACGGGUAGCCGGCCUGAGAGGGUGACCGGCCACAUUAGGACUGAGAUACGGACCAGACUCCUACGGGAGGCAGCAGUGGGGAAUAUUGCACAAUGGGCGGAAGCCUGAUGCAGCAACGCCGCGUGCGGGAUAACGGCCUUCGGGUUGUAAACCGCUUUCGCCUGUGACGAAGCGUGAGUGACGGUAAUGGAUAAAGAAGCACCGGCUAACUACGUG
rnacentral:rRNA from 1 species